UACGAAGGGGGCUAGCGUUGCUCGGAAUUACUGGGCGUAAAGCGUGCGCAGGCGGUCCGCUAAGACAGAUGUGAAAUCCCCGGGCUUAACCUGGGAACUGCAUUUGUGACUGGCGGGCUAGAGUAUGGCAGAGGGGGGUAGAAUUCCACGUGUAGCAGUGAAAUGCGUAGAGAUGUGGAGGAAUACCGAUGGCGAAGGCAGCCCCCUGGGCCAAUACUGACGCUCAUGCACGAAAGCGUGGGGAGCAAACAGG
rnacentral:rRNA from 1 species